UACGGGGGGGGCAAGCGUUGUUCGGAAUUACUGGGCGUAAAGGGCUCGUAGGUGGCCAACUAAGUCAGACGUGAAAUCCCUCGGCUUAACCGGGGAACUGCGUCUGAUACUGGAUGGCUUGAGUUCGGGAGAGGGAUGUGGAAUUCCAGGUGUAGCGGUGAAAUGCGUAGAUAUCGGAGGAACACCGGUGGCGAAGGCGGCACUCGUCG
rnacentral:rRNA from 1 species